ACUCGGGGGUCUUUCCUUAGUGAGCUAAAGGGAUUUGAGUGAAGGGGUUCGUGGGGCUCCCCUCACUGAGGUGGAGGGACUCAGCGGUGCUGGCCCAGGAGGGGAGUAGGUUCGUGGAAUUGGCCCGUGAGGGGAUGGAGUUUGGGGAAACCGAUUCGCGUCGCUGGUCCGUGAGGGGAAGGGGUUCGAGCACCAUCCCGUUCGUGCUGAGGCGCUGUUUCUGAGGGCGUGCAGCGACGAGAUGGGGGCACCCUCUGUGUGGGGACUGUGGCAAUGGCGGGCGCUGCCCCACAGGUCUCUCUGUCUCUGGGAGAAGUGGAGUAGAAUAUCUCCGGUGUAGAGUGGGCCCUGUGAGCAGCAGGAGCACCAGCCCCCGGUGGGUGCUUGCCGCCCCUUACCCCAGCAGUCCCGUGCUCUCCACCGGAGCCUGUGCAGAUGGCGAGUGAGGUGUGUGUCCCCUCCUGUGGGAUGCCUCUAUCCAUGUGGUGUCCAGCUUCCUGCAGCCGCCCUCCAAAGUGUGCUUCAGGCAAGGCUGGCUUUAGAUUUAUCCAAAUGUCGAGCUGCGUGAGGUGUGUUAGGUAACGGGAUGGGAAGAGGGAUGAUGCUUGGGGUUUUUCUGUGGCGGCACAAACUCAGCAGGUUAUGGUUGUUCAUCUCAUUGCUGCCUGGAGGGGCAGAGAACAUGCUUGCCAACUUUCACGUGGAAAAGCUCCUACCAGUGAAUGUUCUCUCUACCUACAUAUGCAUAUUUUUCAGUCUUACCUCCUUACUUGGAAAAGCCCUGGCUAUAGAAACUCGGGACUCGCUUGUACCAGGAGGCUACUAUUAGGAAGUAUUUAAGUACCUUCUAGGAACAAACUUUCAUUUUCAUUCAACUUUCAGUUGAAGCAGUUACUUUGUUUUUGGGAGGGCAUUGCAAUGGUCAAUGAAACUUGUUAUAGAAGUGAUACUUUUGAUUUGUGGAAUGCCCUCUGGGUGGCUUCCAAGGAAACUAUAGCUUUACUGGGGUGGUGUUCUCCUGUGCUGCGGCUGGGGGUAUGGGGGGGAUGCUUAAGCACUUUUGUAGAGUUUUAAAAGGAAAAAAAGUAGUGUUUUGUGGUGUGUAGACUGCUGGGGAGUAGUGGCUAAAUUACCAUUGGUGCGAAGUUUUUAUCUAGCAGGCAGGUGCUGUGCUGUUACUAUAGUAAGUCAUAAGAAGGACACUUAACUAGCUUUUUGAAGCCUUUGUUGGCUUUCUAACUUCACAGAUAGUGUGUGUUCAGCCAUGUAGCUGCUGGAUGGGGCUCAAAACCUGUAUUUCUUCCACGGGUUUUUUUAAAUCCAUACCUUCUGUAGGGCACAACAGUUUAAAGUUGGGCAUCUGUAGUCAUCUCCAAAAAAUUGCCAGUGCAAUGAAAACCACAACAUGCUUGAAUAAAUAAAUACAAUUACACAUACUUACACUGUUCUAAUUGUCUGACCAAUUCUAGGAGUGCAGUGGGGAUUGCAGUCCCUCAAUCUUCAUUUUGUGGGUGUGUGUUAUGUGGUUUCUUUAUUUUUUUUCUGGGACAACUGGAGAAAUCUUGUAUUCAAAGACACAUUUGUGUUUUGGGCAGAAUCUCAGAGGAUGCAGGCAGGUGUGGUGCCAGAUCAGAUCCUGUGUGAUGUAAUACUGGCUUAAUGUGAUGUAUUACUGCGCUUAAUUCCUCAGUCAAGUUUCUUGGAAAAAUUUCUGCAGCAUUUAAGGCUUGAAGAGCUGGAAUGUGAAUGGUCUCUUUUAUAUUUUAUCACGCCUAAAAGGAACUGCAUCCUGUUAACAUCUGUGUCAGGGUGGUAACAGUGCUUUGUUUAAUUCAGCUUGUUUGUCUUGCUCUGGUGGGUUGGCCUUUGCAGAGUGACUGUAAUUGAAGAUAGCACUGGAGCUGCUGGGAUUCAAUUUGAAAGUGAUUCCAGUAGAAUGCACGGGCAUAGCAAGCUGUUGGUGAGUUAAAAGCAGGGCUGUAACUCUAGCACUUAGAAUAAACAGUUCCUAUGUGUGUCUUGAUGUUCUAGCUAGCUCUGGUGUUCAAAACAAACUGAUGUAAGAGACCAAAAAGUCAGAUUCUUUUAACUCCUGCUUGUGCAGAGGGUUCACUUCUAUUUUCUUUGUGUAUGUACGUAAGAGACAAAUGUUUAAACCUUUAAAUUAUUUUGCUAAAUUAAUGUUAAUUAUUCUGGGAGUCGAUGCAGCUUCACAAUUUCAUCGGGUGUUGGUAAUGCCCCAGAUUGCAACGUGGUUUUAAUAAAUUGCAGGAGUAACAAACACAGCAGGGGUUGGCUCUGCCAGUUUGUUUGCUAAAUCCUGUGCUUGGGUAGGGGAGAGUUCCUGCCUCAUCACUGUUAUCUCAAACAACACAUUAAUUUUUUCUAGAAAUAGCCUUCCUAUCUUUCUGCAAGUUGGGAAAACCAAACUCUUCCCAUCUCCUUUCUGUUAGGAGCCAGGUGAAGGCUGGUUCAGAAAUUGAGAAACUGGCAACUCAGUGAAAUGCAGCUGUUUUAGCAGGGUGGGUGUAUCUGAUUACAGCUUUUCUCCCACACAUGCUGUCAGGAGUUGUAGUAAGCUUGUGCUUGCUGUUUUGUUGCCACUGUUCCCUGUCUGAUGGCUCCUUUAUUAGAUGUUCAGUCUGGUAUUUCGGCCUUGCUGGAAUCAAUAGAAAAAUUUGCUUGGGUUUCAGGUCAGCAGUGUGGCCUGGUAGUGAUAAAAGCUAACUGCACACUAGGCUGGAUCAAAAGGAGCAUAACCAGGACAUCAAGUGAAGUGAUUCUUUUUCUCUGCUGGUCACUCAGCAGCUGCAUCUGGCACACCGUGCCUGGCUUUUGGUCCACCACCACAAGAAAGAUGUGGAGAACCCUGUGCAAGUCCAACAGAGCCUGUCUUUAAGGUGAAGGGACUGAGGGAGCUGGGCUUCUUCAGCCUGGCAAAAAAUAAUGGGUGAGGGUAGACCCAGCAGCACCAACCAAAGCAGGGAGUGGGUAUGGGCAGAAUUAAGUAACUUAAGUUUUUGUGGUCUAUUUGCUCUUCACAAGGGCCCCACAAUUUGUGGGAGUUAACGUAUUUUGAAUGCUUUUUUAAUCCCUGCACACACUGUUUGGGGGUGAUGGGCUGUGCCCCCAAGGUCUGAGAGUGUCACAAAAUAAAAGCUAUGUGGAUAGGUAAGCAGUACUUAUUAACUUUCACCCCAAAAUUAGAGAGAUCUUCCUUUUACCUUUUAUGCAGUUUUUUUUACUCUUUAAAGCUUUUUUGUUUGCUUUUGGAUAUUCUUCCUGUAAAAUUUUCCUUAGCAGAUCAUCUCCUAUAGCUCAGUCAAUUUGGUUUUUCAGAACCAGAAUGAUUUUCUUGGGUGGUGUUGCCAGCAUUAGGGGUUGUUCAUCUGGGAAAGCUGAGGUUCUGAUAGAGGGACGAGGCAUACAAAUAAGAGAAAAAUAUCAAGUUGGUGUCAUAAUUUCUUGACUGAUGAAGUAGGACUUGUAAAUGGAAAGACCAGGGAAGAGAAUAAAAUAGAGCUGGGAAAAUAAGGCAAAGAGAAGGCAGGUGUUGAGUGAGGCUGAAGUGAAAGGAAUGAGGCAUUCACAGGAAAUUGCCAGCUGUAAAUUUUCAAGGAUGUCUGGGCAACACACAACUGAAACAAUCUGCUAAUGUCGAGUGUCAUUGUAAACAGCUCCAGCCUCCACCUCAUCCUUCAGGAAAGGUCCUUUCCCCAUCCAGGUCUUUAUGGGGGGCGUGUCCUGACUGCAGAGUUCAUUUUACCACACUGUGUCCAGGGCCAGAGCUUUCUUCCCAAAGCAGGGAAUGAUUCCUUGUAGUUUCCACUUUCUCCUGCAGCUGUCCCACUUUGUUCUGGGAUUAUUGAUGUGAUAGGACCAGGAAAUAUAUUUGGCUAAUGAAAAGAAUGCAGAGAAUUUGUUCUGUCCUUCCACUCUUGCUUGGUGUCAUUCUAGAAAUGGCAGAACUAAUCCUGCCUGAGCAUCCCUCUUCUCACUGAGCAUCUGCUGCCAUUCUUAAUUGUUUUAUUUUUUCUUUGGAAGAGCUUCUAAUGUACUUUUUUUAUUCUUUAAUUACUUUUGUUUGACUCCACCUUUACCAUGUCUUUGGCCAAACAAGUUUUGCAUUUAAUUUCAUUUAUUCUUAUGUGGAAGAAAGCAACUGUCUGUUUUGAUGAAUGUCCCAGAUCAAUGAUUUCUGAGAGGCUGGAUGUAAGAAGAAUAUUAACAGCAUUUGCAGAUGAUCAUAAGCCAGGUGUUACAAACACAAGAAGGAAGAAAUAAUGCAACAUAAUCUAAAAAUCUUGGAAACGGGAAAUUGAAUGUAACUGAGUGGAGAGAAAUAAAACCUGAUGUGUCCUUGUGGGGGUUGGGGGGUGGUGUGGAAAGUUCAGUCCAAGGGACAACUUGGAAAAUAGAGCUGAGGGAGAAAGUGGAGAGCUAAUUAAAUAUUCCUUUGCUUGGUGACAGGGCAAAGGAAAGGACAACAUAAUUAGGGAGUAGCUGUGGGCAUUGCUUACAACAGCAGCAGGGUAGUGGCCUAAAGUAAUUUCAAGAGCACUCAGAAUAUUUUAACUGAACCUGGGUAUCUCAUUAUCAAUGUGUUUUAAACAGAUGGGCACAAUUUCAGAGGCAACUGGUGAUUAUCAUUUGAGAGAGUAAAGGUAUGAAAUGUGUAAAACAUGACUGAGGAAAAGCCAGGUAGGGAUAUAUUCAUCAAUAAACUUCCUGAAGUGAUGAUCUGUUAAUCAAUUGAUGAAUGUUUUGAGAUAAUUAAAAUAGCCCUCAGAAAGGUUUAGGCAUUGAGCUUCAAACUGUAAAAUAACUUUUCAUUGUAUGUACAAAUCAAUUAAAAACAGAUUCUAAGAAGGAACUGGAAAAAAAACACUGGGAAAAACCACUCUGUAUUACAGGGAGCAAAUUCUCCAUCUGCAGUCUUUUAAAGAUCCCAUCUUUUUGGUGUCUUACUGAUAACUGGAUUCUUCUGUUAGCCAAAGCUUUCUUGCCAUAUUCAUGUGAAUUGUGUUGAUGCUGAAAUGAGGUCAGAAGGCAAAGGUAAGAAAUUUCCCCCUCCCUCUAGUAAAGUUCAAAUAAGUGAGUUUACAAAAUCCUUACUGAAAAAAGUCUUUAAUGUGGGGCUCUAUGUAAACAAGUGAGCACAGUGAGAUAUGAAUAUUCCUUUUGCACUGUGUAGCUAAAGUAAUACUCAUAACUUAAGAGAAAUCAGGUGUUCUUCAAGAAAUGUUUAACUGUAAUAAACUUGGCACAAAUUCUGUUAGGCUCAGCUCUAGGAACAAUUCUAGAAUCUGCAGCUGUGAACCAUUUUCUGUGAUGCUGUGACUCAGUCAGGAAGAUGGUGUGAAGUCUGCUGUGUGUCCCAGCAGAGCUGUUCUGCUGACACAGGGACUGCCAUAAAGCUAUGUUAAUAAAAUCUUGCAAGGAGGCAAACCCCAAGCUGUCACCCUUUUGUUAAACCAGAUCUGGUCAUCUCUGAAACAUUCAUUAGUUCUGGAAGUGUUGGGGUUUUUUUUUUGCUUUUUUGUGUUGUUUUGGGUUUUUUUAAUACCUGCUUUUGGUACAAUUUCUUAGCUUUAUUUUUUUGGUCUAACCCAUUGUAACUUUUAAAGGACCUUAAACUUUUGGCUUUUUUAAGGAAAGCUAGUAGGAUUUGUGUUCCAAAAUAUCAAUCAAACUGUAAAAUUCAGGAAUCUGAGCUAAAAUAUUCCAUAGUGUCAGUGCUCCAAAUGCCAUUGGCAGAGACUAUUGAUUCUCCCCAAUAAACUACACAGUGUUAAAUCUAACAAUUGUCUCUGGUCAAUUGUCUGGUACUUUGGUCCACUUUGUAUUUAAAAUGGAACUGCUAACUUCAUUGUGAUAAUGACUUGAUUUGGGGCACUACUUGAUCUUUAAGCUUUUGAGGCAAUAAUCUUCUCUCUCUAACAAGUAAAAUAGCUCCAGAUGGCAAUUGAGGAAUAGCUCGGCUAAAGAUGAUUGUUUUGUCUUUAGUAAAUUCUUGAUAUUUACAAGAUUGGUGAAGCCCUGUCCUCUUUACAUUUCAGUUAGGCAUGUGAUAACUUUCAGCCAUGGAUCUAAACUGGAAAAAACCCACUUUGUAUCCACAGGUAACAGUAAUGCCCUUUCUGGAAUAACAGUCAGCCUCUUGCACCCUUCUGUAGCUGGGACUGUGGAUCAGAGGAGAUGAAUGCCAGGAGGAAGGAAUGGUGAGAGCAAGGAAAAAGAGCCUAAUUGCUACACUGCUGCUGAAGGAACUGGGGGUUUUCAACAUGUUUGUAACAGCAAAGCAACUGCUCCAGGAGUGUGCACAGGAUUACUUUAUCAACUGCUGUAGUUAAUUGAUGCCUGGUGUUUCCCCUCAUCUAUUUUCACUUUUACCUGUGAAGAACAAACUAUUGAUUAAAAGCUCAUAACUCUUACACUGGAGGGAUGUAUCACAGCACUGUUUUGAAGCUGACGGGUGAUUCUGUCCCUCUGAGGCAUGACAAGGACUCCGCUGAUGGAUGCAGUGAAAUAAAUGCUUUGUGCCAUCUACUGGUGCCGCUGGGAGCUGCGGGUCAGCCCGCAGCCGGAGUUGUGACGGACUCAAGCGUGCAGUGUGGGAAAAGGAAACUCGCUGUAAAUGCUCCAAACAAUCAUCUUUGCUUUUUUUGUCACUAAUUGCUAUGCCUGGGAAAACAAACUGCAGUUCUGCUGUUCCUGGUUGAAGUCAAUGGGUGCUCUUAGUGCACACAAAAAAUGCAGCGCAGGGAAGCUUCCACCUGCCCAGUCCUCAAGGAAAUGUCAGAUGGGAAGAGGCCUCCUAAAUUCGGAGUGCCUGUUCCAGUGGGGGAUGUGUAUUUUUAAUUAUCUGCUGUCCUUAGUUGAAGAGAUUUGUCCCUGCACUGUAUAAGUGUACUUCUGCUUGCUUUCUUUUUUCAGCCAGGAGCCUCGUGCAGCUCGUUGCUGUCUGUGAACCUUUCGGAACCAAUUCUGAAAUUCUUCAAAGCACACUCAAAACUUGUCAGCCCCAGAGCUCUUUGGCAGGACAAAAGAUGCAAAUACAGAAGUGCAUAAGGGGACAAACCUGUUCCCCACUGCUCCUGCCAUUGAACAGAACAAUCCAAGGGAUGUGUGCAAGCACCUGCAAAACAGGCAAGUCUUUAGGUUGACUUGGGUUGGGUUUGAAAUAGGUUCAACAGAAUCUGCCACCUUAAUAUGUUGAAUACAAUAACACAGGAAAAUUGCAGAGCCUGGAAAAUUAAAAGCUUGAUGUCCAAUUAACUCCUAUGUGUUCAGCAUCAGGCAAGAAAAAAAAAAAAAAAAAUCUAAAUUAAACAGCAGCACGUUUCUCAUCCAGAAAAUUUCUGACUAGAAAUGCCACGAGCUGAUUUUUUUGAAUCAUCACACCAAGUACAGGUCUGCAUGUAAGGCUCUGGCUGGGCCAAACUCCAAAUUUCAGUAAACUGCAUGUUAAAUGGAGGGGUGUUUGUUCUGAAUUUUCCACAUAUUGAAGCUGUGCUGCCUUUAAAUUCUGUAUCUUUAACAGGGAAUUCUGUGUCAGUAAUGAAUGGAUGAAAGUGGGAAGUUUGAGGACAGCAUACAACUAGAGAGGCACAGACACCUUCUGGCCCUCUUCAGGAAAUCUCAGUCUUGUCUGGUGUUAGACCCAUUCCUGAGAAGGAAACAGCAAAAGAAAGGAAUAUUUUAAAUCCUAAAACACUCUGGAUGCCUGAUUCCAGAGUUUUGAAGAUGCUUGUAAAUCAUCCCAGCAGGAAUAUUAAGCAUCAUAGUCUUAAGAGCAUUCUCUUGGCCAGAAUAUUCCCCUACAGCUCUGGGGAAGAGGAAAGCUGGGAAGGAAUGCUAAUGGAGAGACAAGAAGUGAAGAGCUGCAGUCUCUCUCCAGCGGCCUCAGCUGAGAGGCACAGAGAGCUCUGAGUGUGAAACUUUGCCACAGAUCUGGAGAAAGAUGGAUCUGCUCUGUAUCCCUCACAGCUGGGGGAGGCACUCAGCCUUUGGACAUGGAGAGUGCUGUGGCUGCCAGCAGCUCGCUGCUUCAGGAUGGAAUCAGCUCUGCACUUGGGCAGAGCCAGGGCUGGGGAAACACAGAUGGGAUGUCAUUAACAUUAAUGGACUGGCUAAGGAAGAGUUCUGCAUGCUGACAAGAUAAUGUACAGCUUUAAUAUAGCAAAUUUCUACAGCUGGUGGGGCUCUGGUGCCUUCCUUGUGGAAUGUGCCCAGCUAUAACAUUUAUUUUCACUGUUUAAAAUGAGUCCUGAGGAAGAUGUGGGUGAGAUCCUGUUCCCUGUUUCCAUCAAAGCACCCACUUCUCUGACAGGACCUCCUGACCUCCCACCUCACUUUUUCAAAUGAUUGCUCAGACUCCUUUUGCUGAGCAGAAAACAUUUAAACUGUUGUUCAAAGUGAGCACUUAUCAGGUGGUGUCUUUCCCCCUUCCCAGAGCAGAGCAUUAAUUAAAUUGGAGGACUCAAGGGCCUGUCUGGAAGGGAUUCUAGAUGGAGAGGAAGUGCAAACCCAAAGGACCAACAUGAAAUGCAGACAGAUGUUCUUCUGAAAUGGAAGAGUUAAAAAUCCAAGCUCAAAAGGACAAAGAAAGGAAAAAAAGGAGAAAUCUUGACUCUGGAAAACAAGAAGCUGCUUAUCAGAGGAGAUGUGGAUGUGUGAUGCCAGGGUGGGGCAGUUUUCUCUCCAAUUCCUGUGCUUCCUCUGAGGCAGUUUGACUUUUGAAAUAUAAGGAAGAAAAGUGACUUGUUUGUUUGUUUCCUGCACUGGG